rnacentral:rRNA from 1 species
GAAGUAAAAAAGUCGUAACAAGGUUUCCGUAGGUGAACCUGCGGAAGGAUCAUUACUGAGUGAGGGCCCUCUGGGUCCAACCUCCCACCCGUGUUUAUUGUACCUUGUUGCUUCGGUGCGCCCGCCUCACGGCCGCCGGGGGGCUUCUGCCCCCGGGUCCGCGCGCACCGGAGACACCAUUGAACUCUGUCUGAAGAUUGCAGUCUGAGCAUAAACUAAAUAAGUUAAAACUUUCAACAACGGAUCUCUUGGUUCCGGCAUCGAUGAAGAACGCAGCGAAAUGCGAUAACUAAUGUGAAUUGCAGAAUUCAGUGAAUCAUCGAGUCUUUGAACGCACAUUGCGCCCCCUGGUAUUCCGGGGGGCAUGCCUGUCCGAGCGUCAUUGCUGCCCUCAAGCACGGCUUGUGUGUUGGGCUCCGUCCCCCCGGGGACGGGUCCGAAAGGCAGCGGCGGCACCGAGUCCGGUCCUCGAGCGUAUGGGGCUUUGUCACCCGCUCGGUAGGCCCGGCCGGCGCCAGCCGACAACCCAUCAUCCUUUUCAGGUUGACC